GUGACCUGGGGUGAAGAAAGACAAGAUGACAUGUAACUUAGCUCAUCGCUGCAUCCUUCCAUGAACUUGAAGCAUGCAAAGGUCUGCAUGAAUGUCAGUCUAUGGUCAAAGCUUACAUGCCUCAUUCAACUCUUGGGUUUAUAACCUCAAGCAAAAGCAGCACUGGAUUAAAUCUGAUGCAGGUUCAGAAGGGUUAACAAAAGGAGGAAAAUGCCAGAGCACCAGAAAAUUAAGGGAAGCAGUGAGAGCCAUGUGUAUUGAAGCAUGGAUUUAAGAAAGAGACAGAGAGAUUAUAAGCUCAGAAAGAAAGGAUCAGACUUCAGGACAAGCAGUACCAGAAAGCCCAGAACAGUCUUCUCUCAGUCAGUCAGCAUAAUACAUUAAAUAGGUGUCUAUAGAGUGCCCGUAAGAUUAAAGCUCAUUUCACA